UUUUUUAUUAUUUUGUUUUUGUUUUGUUUUGUAGUUGGUUGGUUGGUUUGGUUUGAAAAUCAAGCCCAGGUUUUGGCCACCUAGCUCUCCCUUCUCCUGCCAUUCCACGGAUGAGCUUGCUCUCGGCGUGUCCUGAAGUUUCCUAAAACCUCACCCAGGCAGAGAAACUUGUAACAAGGCAGGGAGAAACAGAACCUAUUCAUUCCAGCAAGGAACGACACCAGAUGAGGCAUGAGAGAGGUAUGAGAAAUAUCCAGCGGGAUUAGUGGCAAAGCCUCCGAGGCCAUGGCCUUCGGUCUAGGUCAGAACCGCCUAUAAAAAUGGGGAAUUGUUUGUCCAGUGCCCAGUGAGCAGCUUCUAUAUUUGAUCAGCCACAGGCCUCCCACGCUCCAGAAGAGGCGGGGCGUCUAUCUAGGAUGCAUCCAGCAUGGGCUCGGGGAUCUGAUGAUGGCUCUCCAGGCUUGGGAAGCGCCAGGGGAGCUGGUUUCAUUUCUCCUUGUAUGAGCUAUCCUCCCUCCCUCCCAUGUGCUGCAUUGGAGAGGGGCUUGUCUGUCCCCGGGAUCUCCUAAGCCCUGUAAUGUCUACCUGAGCCAUCAAAUGGUUAGGGGAGUCUCAAACUGGCACCUGAGAUGGCUGAGCCCAGCGUUUGCCCAGUCGGCAGGUCAAUAUUGUCCUUUAGGGUCCAUAUCUUGCACCCAGAAAGGAAGCAUUUUCUAUUUGCUAUCGUUUCUGUCAGAUGGGUUCAAAGGGUAAGUCCCCAGGGUACCUUUGCUGCAGUGACUCAUCAGACAGGCCAAGAGUCACUACCGAAGGGGCCGAGUUCACCAACAUGAUUCCCUUGGCAGGAAAUGACAAGCUCCCUCUGGCUAAAAACCUCUCCAACGACUGGAAAAAUACUUCCUGGGCCCAGGAAAACGGGCUUCCUCACUCCUGCCCAGAGACUCAGUAAGACCAGUCGGCAAAGCAUAUCUGAACUCCAGCAAAGAGAGAGUGUAUUCUUCAAAACUAUAUAGUACUGUGUGUCUCGGAUGUCGGCGGUGGAGCAUGCCGUGUCACAGUGCGUGCACACAGCUUGGAGGAAACGCCGUGAGAUUUGCUCUCUUCUUCCAGCUUUAAGUAGGUUCUUCGGAUCACACCCAGGGCACCAAGCUUGGCUGGUAAGAUCCUUCACGCAACCCUCUUGCCAGCCCUAGAAAUAUAUUCUUGAAGGCAAAUCUGUAAAUACUGUAUACAUAAAUUACACAGAAUUAUAUAUGUGCUUCAUAUAUAGCCAGUGCUCAGAGUCAAAUAAGAACAGAAUAAUGCCAUUCAGGUCACUACAGAGUCACUGCCCUGUCACCUAAGGAUUUUCCUAGCUAAGAACUGUCUACCAAAAUGGCCAAAGAUGUUUUAUCUGUAUUUAAGAUCAGGCGGUAACUGUUUCCUGAACACUGUAUGCUUUUGUUCCACACGCAAAAAAAAAAUAAUUUCUGAAGCAGCACUUUAAAAAAGAAAUCUUUAUUUUCUUCUAAAAUGGCCAAGGAGAGAUUAAAAUAAUGUAUUCUUGCCACUAAAGAUGCUAAUUGCAUGAGAUUCCAAAGUGCCCUUCAGUGUCUGGUUAUGGGUUUAAAUGUCUCCUAUCCACAGCGAUCAGUCACCCUAUUCUCUUCACAAUGAGUCUUCUAUUCUGGUUGCAAAGAAACAGAGGACCAGAAUGGACUGUCAUUCUGCAGAGAACAAAGGACCAGAGACUCCAGCUUUGGACGGCAGAACCCACUUAGCUGAUCACAUGGAGGCCAAAAGAAAAGAUUUUAUAGAGCCACGUAAUUAAACCUGUCAUUUGUGUAACCACACGAAAAUGUUGACACCUGGAGACGUGGUUCUCAUAGAUGCCUUGGUACAUGAAAUUUAAAAUCAGUUCAGACUCAGGGUUUUCUAAGCACCACGCCUUUCUGCGAAGUGGGAAUAGAAUCCUAUAGCUCCCAAUAAACCCUAGAAGGAAGGAGCCAGUGGGCAGAACUGUAGGAAGGGUGGCUUUGGGGUGCUCUGAAGCACUCCCUUCAGGCCACCCAAGAGGCUUGCAUCUUUAUACCAAGGGAAGUCGCUGGUAGGUGGUAAGGCUAAGCCAGGCAGCCAUGUGGACUCUUGCAGGAAUCCCCCAUUCCAGAAGUCAAACACUGUCCAACCCCAUUCAAAAUAAAGGCUUCAGCUGGCAAAGGGACAUCCCCCAGACCCCACCAAACACACCAAAUUGCUGUCCUCAAAGCCAGGCUUCCCUUAAGUAGCCCUACUAACUAACCCAUCCUACACAGUAACCAUGGAAACUGGAGCCUCCUGCCAGCCACGUUCAACAGAGGCAUACUUCCUGUUGGCAGCAGCCAUUGGCUCCUUUCCCAACGUGUCAGAGCCACCCCAAGUAGAAGCAGGGCCCCCAGUAAUGACUGACACUCUAGCUGAUGGGGCAUGGUGGGAGGAAGAGGAAGCAGCUGUCUUUCACUGUUCAGGACAUCAGGGGAAAUACUACCUGUAGCCUCCAAUCCUUCACCACCUCACCGUCAAGUCAUCGAGUUCACACAGAGCUGCUCUGAGUCAAGCAGUCCUGAGGUUCACUGUUGGCGAUCAGUGAACUGGAAGACACUGUCUAGGGCUGCACGGUCCAGCUAAUAAUCCCUGCCCCGAGUAUCAACUGGGAUGAACAUCAGUCACUGUGAUCAAAAUAGCUGAGCUUCUCACGGGGAUGUGAGAACAACAUAAAGAGCUGACAGGCAACGACUACAGAAGAGGCACAGCGGUCCCUCUGCAGCGGAGCCUUCGGGGAGUGCCCCACCCCCAUCAGGACCAACUGAGCUCUUUCCCAUCUUACAGGCAAUCUUACAGGCACUUCUGCAAAUUGGCACCUUCCAAAACUGAGCCUGGAGACAGACAUCCACGUGGCUCUAAAGAGACUCCGAACAUGUUCCAGGCGUCAGUGCUGCGCCAGUAGCUAGCUGAAGUGACCUUGGGAGAUGACUUGACCUCUCAAAACCUCAAGCUGCUCCCCAAACAUACCAGGUGAUUACAGGCAACGAAUGAUAACAUUAUAAAGCCUGAUCCCCAAUACAUGCAAGGCACAGUCUGCAAAUGUGAGUUUCCAUUCCUCUUUGAAGAAAGGCACUAGAAACCAUCCUCUGUCGCUGACAACUCUCAGAUGCUGGGCGACCCGGACCUCUGUCCUCAGAGAAGGUGGACAAUGACUGAGUCACUGCCGGACUGCAGCUGGUGCUGAGGACCCUUCUGAGUUUUUAAAACUAGAACUAAAGAGGAGAUAGAUGAUCAAGAGUAUUUAGCAUUAAAAGUAUAUUUUAAUCCUCAACUUCAAAACCUGAUAAUCGGAAGACAUACGAAGGAUCUUUAAUCACACUUGCUCAGAUGUCUCAGAGGGUCCCCUGCAUCAUCGUUAUCUGAUGAGCUGUUGAUGGAAACAGGCAGGACACAAAGCCACAGUAUUUGUCUCCAUGCUCACCCCAAAGCCCAUCUACUAUUGGAUACCCCUGUUCCAGCCAACCUGACUGAGUACCUAUGGGUAAUUCGUGAGAUCUGGGUGAUACCCCACCACCACCCCUGUCAUUGUCCCUGUCUCUGGCUGCAAAAUUAGACUUUAGUCUAUGUUCUGACCUGCUGUCCUGCCAAUCUCACUCCUCCAACACCUCCAUGCUGGGUGGCUGUUGCCAUGACAACCGAUCUUUGGCUUCUGCUUAGAGUGCCCUGAGAACCAUCUCCCAGGUGCCUAAUUUCUUCAUACUGCUCUGGUCCAAAUUUCUGGACUGUCUGAUUUUAACUUAUUUCUAGAGUCAUGUUGUGUCUAGCCUCAUGAAGAUUGUGCCGUUCUCCCCCCACCACCACCACCACCAUCCAUGCUGUUCUAAUUUAUACUGCCUGUCUGUAUUCCCCGGAGAAACUAUUCUCUGCCUCCCCUAAGCCUGCAACAGCAGGAAUCCACCAGUCACAGUGAGGAUUGCUUAGGCACAGGGCAGGCAGGCACCGAGGGAGACCACACUCAUUCCAACCCUGACAGAAAACAGUGGAAUUAAUCCCUUCGCAAUAAAGUUUAGCUACCUGAAUGAAAAACA